rnacentral:rRNA from 1 species
UACGUAGGGCGCAAGCGUUAUCCGGAAUUAUUGGGCGUAAAGAGCUCGUAGGCGGUUUGUCGCGUCUGCUGUGAAAGACCGGGGCUCAACUCCGGUUCUGCAGUGGGUACGGGCAGACUAGAGUGAUGUAGGGGAGACUGGAAUUCCUGGUGUAGCGGUGAAAUGCGCAGAUAUCAGGAGGAACACCGAUGGCGAAGGCAGGUCUCUGGGCCGAUACUGACGCUGAGGAGCGAAAGCGUGGGGAGCGAACAGG